rnacentral:rRNA from 1 species
UACGAAGGGGGCUAGCGUUGCUCGGAAUCACUGGGCGUAAAGGGUGCGUAGGCGGGUCUUUAAGUCAGGGGUGAAAUCCUGGAGCUCAACUCCAGAACCUGCCUUUGAUACUGAAGAUCUUUGAGUAUGGGAGAGGUGAGUGGAACUGCGAGUGUAGAGGUGAAAUUCGUAGAUAUUCGCAAGAACACCAGUGGCGAAGGCGGCUCACUGGCCCAUUACUGACGCUGAGGCACGAAAGCGUGGGAGCAAACAGGG